GAGGGCGCAGAGCUUCCUGCAACACUCACAUGUGCUGCUCCUUUGCAAGUGGGGUGCCACGGUUCCUGGCGCCUUGGGAGCACUGCGCAGCAUCUCUCCUGCAUCCCAUCUGCAGCAUCCACGGCGCCCGAGCACCACGCGUGACCCAGCAGCCGUGUCUUCGAAAUUCCUCCUCUGUUACAGGCUGCUUGCUGCUUUAGCUGCAUUUGACCAGCCACUGCAGCAGUUUUCUCCACUACCAGCACAAAAGGGAUGGGUGGGCUGUGGUGUCGUGCAGACAGUGCUCUAACUAAAACGCUUCUCAGUGGCAUGCACAGAAAGUUAAGAGGAGAAAAAAAGCAUUGAUUUCUGUUUGAAAAAUGUUCAAAGCUCAAUGUUUGUACAAAAGCUCAGGAAACUCUUCCGAGAGCACAAGCUAGUUAGUCAUUAAAUUGGUAGUUUAUUUAUUUUCCGAGAAAGAGGAGGAAAGGGGGAGAGCGUGGGGGACAUGUAGGAGUUGAAAGAGCACUCGUGUUAUUCACCAUGCAGCCAGGAGAAGAAAAUAAAGAGGCAAUUAGAAGGUCAGAGCCAAUAAUAAUACACUGGCAACCCACAGAAGCUAUAAAGCAGGUGUUUGUUCUCUUGGUAUUUUUACUGCAAACCAUCAUUAAAGCUGUGUGACACCA